rnacentral:misc_RNA from 1 species
GAUUGACACAAAUACAGUCAAAUUUAAUUGAGAUGUAUGCUCAAAUUAUGUCAUUAUAAAAAUGGGCUACUUGUUACAAUGGGGGACCUGUUCUCUGGCCUCUAUAUAUCCUUAUGUGAUCGACAAAGAGGAACAAUUAUAAUUGUGCAAGAUUUAUCAGGAUCAAAUUGAGAUUGCUUUAUGAUGUGCUGAAAUGUCUCAAAUGAGACAACUAAAUGGGAAAUGAUGGAUAUUAUUGCUUCAAUGUCUGGUAGCUCUUGGAAAAUCAAAAUUGAGCUCGAGGUGGAAUCUAUUUGGACUUGAGAUCUGAUCUAGGAAAUAACAUUAAAUUUUUAUUAGGAUUUGUAGCAAUGUUGCAGUGUGGUACUGUUUAUAAAUACUGUAGCAGUACGUUUAUGUACUAAAAUAUUUCUUGUAAUCAGGGAUUUUUAUUUCAAGUCUUUAUUUUGCUAUUUGGAGCACUUUAGAUUAUUUUGGAAGUUAAAAUUUACUUUUCAUUAUGAUUUUAGGGAUAUGCUUUAUUAGAAGUAUGUUUGUGGCAUCCUCAUAUCUUGUCAAAUUGAGAGUGGUACUAUCUUAACUUUAGAAGUUUCAUGUAUUAGCAGCUUUCUUUAAUGAAGUUUUACAUUGUUUAAUGGUUUCCUUAUUAGAAAUUUAUGCUUUCAUGGAAUACUGAAGAAAUCUCCUAAUAUUGUGGCUUUCUCAAGUGCAAUAGUCCAACUUGUGCCUGAUGCUAGAUUCACAAUAAAACACUCUUUCCCUCUCAUCUUUUCCCCUUGUCCAAAUUUGUCAACCCUGACCUCGGUGGCCUAGAGGAUGUUCACAUGGGCAGCUAACCACUGAGACAUCAAAGAUCAUGUAUAUGAUUUGAAAUAAAACUCUAAAAACUAUACUGGUUAAAAAUUUGUAAUAUUUCCAGUCCAUUACAACUAAUUUGAACUAAAAUUUGGUUUUCUAAUGUAUGAAUCAACCAGUUGUACAGACAUGUCUAGCCCACAUUGUUGUAAUGGAUCUUUAUGUCUGCCUUUUUUACCAUACUGCUAUUGUAAAGGGAAAAACUGGUCAUAGUAAUUGGUUAAUUGUGGCACAUGAUUUUGGGGUGACAUACAGUUGCCUUGGCAUUUAUGGGUUUGAAUUGGUUUUAAAUUAGCUUAGUUGUUUAUUUUGCAGUGAAGUUCGGGUUGAAGGCUUGGAAACGCUGGAUUAUCUUGACAACCUACAGAGCAAGGAGCGUUUUACCGAGCAAGGGGAUGCUAUAACUUUUGAAUCAGAAAUUGACAAGAUAUAUCUCAGCACUCCUACAAAGAUAGCAAUUCUGGAUCAUGAAAAAAAGAGAACAUUUGUUCUACGCAAGGAUGGACUGCCAGAUGCUGUGGUGUGGAAUCCAUGGGAUAGGAAGGCAAAGGCAAUGGCUGAUUUUGGAGAUGAUGAAUACAAGCACAUGUUGUGUGUGGAAGCCGCUGCAGUUGAAAAGCCUAUUACAUUAAAACCUGGGGAAGAAUGGAGAGGAAGACUUGAACUUUCUGCUGUUCCUUCCAGUUACUGUAGUGGCCAACUUGAUCCUCGGAAGGUUCUCCUGAGCAGCUGAGAGAGCACUAUUUUGGUCUAUAUUCUGUACUGUACAGCUACAUUGGUUGGAAGUUAAAGUGCUCUACAUAUUUGGAUUGCAUAUUUCAGUAUUGGAAUUUCACUUCUUUGUUGAUGUUUUCAAGUAUGCUUUGCUUGAGAAUACGUUGUAAGGUUGAAUAUUGUAAUUUUUACACAACAAUAUUGUGAAAAGAAAUGGUUCCUUAUAUUCAUGGCAUUAUUAGUUCUCGUGUUGUGGGGUGGUAUUGUUGGAGGGGCAAUGUGGACAUAUGAAUUUUAUUUUAAUUAUUAUAGCAAGUAAAGCAAUGUAAUGUUAUCUGUGAAUGUG